rnacentral:rRNA from 1 species
AUUGAACGCUAGCGGCAUGCCUUACACAUGCAAGUCGAACGGCAGCACGGGAGCAAUCCUGGUGGCGAGUGGCGAACGGGUGAGUAAUACAUCGGAACGUACCUGGUAGUGGGGGAUAGCCCGGCGAAAGCCGGAUUAAUACCGCAUACGACCUGAGGGUGAAAGCGGGGGAUCGCAAGACCUCGCGCUAUUGGAGCGGCCGAUGGCAGAUUAGGUAGUUGGUGGGGUAAAGGCCUACCAAGCCUACGAUCUGUAGCUGGUUUGAGAGGACGACCAGCCACACUGGGACUGAGACACGGCCCAGACUCCUACGGGAGGCAGCAGUGGGGAAUUUUGGACAAUGGGCGCAAGCCUGAUCCAGCCAUGCCGCGUGCGGGAAGAAGGCCUUCGGGUUGUAAACCGCUUUUGUCAGGGAAGAAAUACUCUGGGCUAAUACCCUGGGGUGAUGACGGUACCUGAAGAAUAAGCACCGGCUAACUACGUGCCAGCAGCCGCAGUAAAAC